UUACCAUUUGUUAUUGUUGUAUAUUGUUUCAUUCAAAGUUCUAGCGAUGAACAUGGAAGACCAACUCAUCAAAAGAAUACAAACGAUGUUUAUAUAUUAUGACAUAGCAAGUUGAAUUAAAGAAAUUAAACAAACAAUAUUUUAUCAGUCAUGUGCUUCGCCUCGCAAACUGCCUAUUUUGUGGUCAUAACCAGGUAUUAAACAUGGCAAUUCCACACUUUUUAAGCUUCCAUGCACUUAUUAUCAGUCACCUGCUUUGGAAAGAACAUUUUGCAUUUUUUUUGUUUAAAAAGUUUGAUUAUUUGAUCAAUCUUAUCUGAAAUUGAACAUAUUCUCUCCAGGUUGUCAUACAUAUUCUCUCUAUAUAUAUAUCUCUUUUAAUAUUUAAUUUCAUAAAUAGUUGAGCUCGUGUUAUAUUCUUAGCCAUUUCUAAGAUUACUUGUCACAGCAUUCUGAAGCAAAAUCUAGGAUUAUCUAUCCCAUCAUCAACCCACCAAUUCUGAUGAGCUAGGCACAACAAUCAUAGGGACAAGGAAAUGAAAAACCACACUACCUUAUCAUAGAAAUAAAAAGCAAGCAGAGAAAAUGAAUUAUUGUACAAUUGAAGAGAUACUAUCUCAACCCAAGUCGAUGUGAUCCUUAUUAUACAAUUGACCCGUGAAGUGUUGUAGCUAACGCGUUAAGUAUCCCGCCUGGGGAGUACGUUCGCAAGAAUGAAACUCAAAGGAAUUGACAGGGGCCCGCACAAGCGGUGGAGCAUGUGGCUUAUUUCGAUGCAAAGCAAAGAACCUUACCAGGGCUUGACAUGUCGCGAAUCCUCUUGAAAGAGGGGUGCUUUCGGGAACGUGGAUAUAGGUGGUGCAUGGUUGUCGUCAGCUCGUGUCGUAAGGUGUUGGGUUAAGUCCCGCAACGAGCGCAACCCUCAUGUUUAGUUGCCACUGUUGAGUUUGGAACCCUGAACAGAUUGUCGGUGAUAAGCCGGAGGAAGGUGAGGAUUUCGUCAAGUCAUCAUGCUCCUUAUGCACUGGGCCACACACGUGCUACAAUGGUCGGGACAAAGGGUCGCGAUCCCACGAGGGUGAGCUAACCCCAAAAACCCGUCCUCAGUUCGGAUUGCAAGCUACAACUCGCCUGCAUGAAGUCGAAAUUGCUAGUAAUCGUCGAUCAGCCAUACGACGGUGAAUUUGUUCCCGGGCCUUAUACACACCACCCAUCACACUAUGGGAGCUAGCCAUGCCCAAAGUCAUUACCUUAACCGCAAGGAGAGGGAUGUCGAAGGCAGAGCUAGUGACUGGAGUGAAGUCGUAACAAGGUAGUUGUACUGGAAGGUGCGGCUG
rnacentral:rRNA from 1 species